GGCGAAAAUAACUCAGUUUGGUAGAGUAUUAGAUUGUGAAUCUAAAAGUCCAAGGUUCAAAUCCUUUUUUUCGCC
rnacentral:tRNA from 1 species